rnacentral:lncRNA from 1 species
CGCCCGGGCGCCGUGAGGGCGGGACCGGGGGAGCCCUCAGAGCGGCUCGCGGGCCCGGCAGCGUCGUUGUCCGAACGCUGCUGGAACUCUGUCAGCCUCGGGGCUGUGAGCACUGCCUGCGGGAGGUCUGUGCGCGACCACCCUCCGGGUGAAAGCCUUUUCCUGUUGCCCAGCCCUGCCCCAGCCGUUCCUCGGGCCCUGUCCCUGGCCAGAGCAGAGAUCAGUGCCUGCCCCUCGGCAGUCCGCAGCGAGUUCCCGUCAGUCUCCAGCUGUGGCUGAGGGACGGCUGCCACCGCCCGGGAGCGCGGCGGGGUCGGGCCGUGCAGCGGCAGCCCUCGGCUGGAGGUGAUUAACGCCAAUUAGCUGCUGGCCCUGCGCUCGGUACCGCCCUCCCCCACUGCCCGGUGCCGCUCGUCGCAGGACUGACCCGAGAGCUCCAGUCCUGGGUCGCGCCCCGCGGGACGGAAAAAGUCAAACCCGCUCGCUGAGCUGUGUGUGCAGGGCUGCAGUGCCGAGGAGCCCAAGGAGGCGCAAGAUGAGUGUCAAAAGCACGGGCGGAACCUCCUGCAUGAGGGAAAAGAGCACAGUUCAUAAAAAUAAUUUGGCUCCUGCCUUGGACAACAGUGAGAUGAAACUUAAAGAUCAACAUGUUACAGAGUAGCAGUUUCCAGAUAUGUGGAUAAGAGGGACAGUCAAGGUAACAAGUCAGGGAAGCUGGAGUUCCCAAACAACCUGAACUGAAUACUUGACACGUAAGUCUGACCACAAGAAUUGCUUUUCUGAAUUCCUUUCAACAGAUCUGUAAC